UCUGGGAAAUUCUGCUCACUGGGGAAUUAAAAAAAAAAAAAAAGGAAAAGGCCAACCAUGCAUGAAUGCAAUUUCUCUCUCAACUGGAUGAAACUGUGGUGGCUGGUGAUUGGGAACAUACGGAAGAUCGACUGGGAGAAGGGAAACUAGGAGGGAGGGCUCUCAGGGCUCUGCCUCCCAAGAUGCUUGGGGUAGCCUGCUUUGCCUUUCUGAGUGUAGUGAACUGACAGGUGCACGUGGUCCGGGAACGUGGGGCGGAUGUCUGCGGUGGCGAGAAAAUUACUCCAUUCGGUCUGAACAAAGGCUUGGUAACCUCCCUGAAGACGGGGACCCUUGCCCCGCUGCUGUGUCGCCAGUGCCUCCUUGACUGUGGUGCGCGUAUUGCGUGAAGGUGCUUCAUGUUCACUGAAUGAAUACGAGAGAGAGACACAGCAUGAACGGGGGAGAGGCAGAGAGAGAGGGAAACACAGAAUCGGAA